AAGGGGUUGGGUUAGAUUAGGUUAGGUAAGAGGUCGGGUAAGAACAGGUUAGGUUAGGUAAGGGGUUGGGUUAGAUUAGGUUAGGUUAGCUAAGAGGUCGGUUUAAAUUAAGUGCACGUACCAACACACACAUUUCGGACCUAAUUCCGGGAAGCAUUUUUUGUCAUUUUCGAACUUACAGACAUUAACACUAUAGUAAUUUCGAACACGUUGUACCCAGUUCGAACCCCGCAUGAUCUUACUUCCCACGCACCUAAUUCACCCUCCCACUUUUUACGUCAACACAUUCUCCAUUUACUACAUUUUCCAACAUAUAAUCGCUUUUUG